rnacentral:rRNA from 1 species
AAGAGCCCGGAGAUGGACUCUGAGACACGAGUCCAGGCCCUACGGGGCGCAGCAGGCGCGAAAACUUUACAAUGCAGGAAACUGUGAUAAGGGAACCCCGAGUGCCCGUACACGCGGGCUGUUCAGAUGUUUAAAACACAUCUGGAGAAAGGGCCGGGCAAGACCGGUGCCAGCCGCCGCGGUAAUACCAGCGGCUCGAGUGGUGACCACUAUUAUUGGGCUUAAAGCGUCCGUAGCUGGGUUGCUCAGUCCCUUGGGAAAUCUGACGGCUUAACCGUCAGGCGUCUAAGAGAUACUGGCAACCUAGGGACCGGGAGAGGUGAGAGGUACUCCAGGGGUAGGAGUGAAAUCCUGUAAUCCUUGGGGGACCACCUGUGGCGAAGGCGUCUCACCAGAACGGCUCCGACAGUGAGGGACGAAAGCUGGGGGAGCAAACCGGAUUAGAUACCCGGGUAGUCCCAGCUGUAAACGAUGCGCGUUAGGUGUAUCGGUGACCACGAGUCACCGAGGUGCCGAAGGGAAACCGUGAAACGUGCCGCCUGGG